rnacentral:rRNA from 1 species
CGUCGGCGGGUGGCUUAGUUUAGGGCAGCGGCCCGAGCAGACGGAGCAGCACCGGCUACUUACGCAGCCGACGCCGGUGCGGGGGAGAGGUUUGCCGCCGCUACUACCUCCCUCGUCGAGUGCGACGGUCCGAGGGCUGGCUUGCGCAGCCCAGUAGAGAGGAGUCCCGGUUGGGGAGGAUAAGUAGUGUAGAGAGGGACUGAGGCAGAGGAGGUGCUCUACAUCGUGGUGGGGUGCGGUACCUACGGGAACGGCCGACGUAGAGAGGUACGCGACGGUGAGGAUACUGUGACGGCGGACUGUCAGAGGUGGUCGUGGUGCUGCCCGCACCGGAGACGUGCGCGGCAGUGGAGGGGAGGUCUAGGCCGGCAGCAGCUCCCGUAUAGGUAGGUCGUCACGUGGCAGUGGAGGGGAGGUCUAGGUUGGCAGCAGUUCCCGCAUAGGUAGGUCGUCGCGCGGCAGUAGGGUUAGUAGUGGCAGGUGCCGCAGUAGCGGGUCCGGGUCAGUCCCCGGCCGUUCUGGAGGUACUAGAGGGAGAAGCAGACGGUCCAGUAACUCUGGUUGCAGGUGCUCACUAAAGGCGUAUCGAAAACACAUACUGCCGACCUCCUGGUUGAGUCUGGAGCGAACGGAGUCCCAGUCCUCCAGGUUCCGCGGUGUUCUGGCCCGGUCCUCAAACACAUUUGGACCCGGUCCUCAAAUAAACUAUUUCCAAAGGUCUUACUAACCGGUGCGGAUGGAUUUUUCAAGCCUUAAAUUGGUACUCGGGGAAGACCGGACCAAGGUAUAAGGUUCCGGGAAGGUAUUAGGUUAAGAAACAGGGCUUGGUAGGUAACUUCUUGUAUCUGACAAGUCUUAUAGUCAAACAAUAUAAACGUAGUCUACUUGAUACCCUCGUGAACUUGUUAGUCCUUCGACACCUAUAUCAAGUAACAAGUGGAGCCUUACCGUCGGUCACCACCUCAUUAGUCACCAAAUACUCCAGUACCUCGGGUUCUGGCCUACGUCGUCUUCUUCGUCGCAGCAACGGCACGUGAUUCUUCCGGUUGUCAGACACUCCGCCUUCUAGGUAUCGUAUGUCGCCUACGCAACCUAUACGGUAAGGAGUUACACAUGGACCUAAGAGAAACCCGUGGAUUAAAACCCCGUCCACAAUAAGAUCGUCGGGCGAAGCGAAACCAGAAGUCUAAUUCGUUAAGAGACGUAAGUUCCCUUUCCAGUUAUCGACGAGAGGUUUCGGUUGCGGCCAGACAUAAGUAGACGACGCAGUCCAACCGGUGUUGCUCCUCUGCCUGCGCUGGCGUAGCAGGGUAGCUGGAGGCCCCAGAAACUAUAGAGUCCCACACACAGUACAAUACAACCCAAAGGACACUAAAGCCACGCCCAUCGAUGUAUCGCAGGCACCCGGUACGCACACUGUACGUACGAUCCAUUAGAACUGAGGCCACGCUGCCACGACCUUGGCGGAGGCGACCAAUGCUGGCGACACCGAUACGAACUUCCGUCUUAGUCGUGCUACUGACAUCACCGACGUGAGUCUAGUCCCGUCGGUGCCCUAUACUAGUUCGGAAAUGACAGCAGGAGACUUAAACCCUAGUGCACGUAGCCGUUCUCUUUAUCGUACUCUCGGAUUCUCCCAUCAUGGUGCAAUGCUUGUUCAACUAAAAAUAGGUACCUUAACUAGACUACGCUUCGACUACGGUGUAUUUUCCUGGUUCCUUACUUGUGCUUCGUUUAAUAUUGAGAGUCCAAGUACCAAAUCCUCGUCCUUUCUUGUGAAGGUUAACACAUCUACCCAGUAGUCAUCGUAAAGAGAUUAAUAGGAAUAUCUCUGACUAAACCUAACAACUUCCUUUCCUAGAGUUAAGAGUUAUCGUUUGACGUGACCCUGUAGAACCUGUGUAAAGACUCGAUCUAUACAACCACUCGCCCGUCCGCCGCGAUCUGUACCGUCCCGUUCUCUCGUGCUCCCUCUUACAGUUUCCCCCGUUGUAUUUACUCUCAAGUGGCAAUACGAGUACACCAGUCUUGGAUCUCGUACCUAUGUUCUGGAGGUAGAAGAUACCUGUAGUCUCGUCUCCUCUUCACUACUACCUGUAGUCUGGUCACUUCUGUCACUCGUACACGAGGAUCUGCUAUGAAUAGUAUAGUAUAAGAGUCACACAUCAGUUUUUGACAUACGGUG